GCGCCGGUGGUGUAAGGCGAACAUAGCUGCCGGGAAGCAGAAGAUGCGGGUUCGAGUCCCGCCUGGCGCA
rfam:Heligmosomoides polygyrus genome assembly, scaffold: HPBE_scaffold0000561